GCCUCGGUAGCUCAGUUGGCCAGUACGGGAAAUGUUUUAUCAUUUCUCUUGGCUCAAGCGAUCGGCUUGUAACCGAUAGGUCGGGGGUUCGAAUCCCUCCCGGGGCU
rnacentral:tRNA from 1 species